UGCAGUUUCCAUAUUCAGGAGGCAUUCCAUAAGGCAAGAGGUAGGAGAAUAAAGAAUUUAAGCUUGUUCUUGGCUAUCUAGUGUAUUGAGACCAGUCUAACAUACACAGGAUCUGGUCUCAAAAAAGAAAAGAAAAACAAAAAUAAAAGAAACAUUAAACAAAACCCAAGCAAACAAAAGGUAGCAGUUAGGUAGACAAUAGCAACAUAAGGAAGCAGUGUAUGUCUAGAUAGGAUUAAAGCUUCUGCAGCUUGUUUACAGAAGUGACACCCUAUCUCUGUUUCCUGUUCUGUUGACUAAAAGGAAGUGUUUAUUGGGUCUGGUCCACAUUUAAGGGAGAAAUUGUACAAACUCUUUAAUACAGAACACUGAAAGCUGUUUCUAAAGCUACGUGUCAUAAUUACACUUAAUCUUUUCCACAAAUGAACCAUAUGGUUAAAUGAAAUCAUGCUACCUGAUUUGAUUCACGAUUUUCCUGAACAUUUUAAAAAUAAUUAUUAGAUACUAAAUUUUAUUUGGAACCUGAAAUACAUUAAAGUCUUAAAAUAUAUAUGUGUGUGUGUAUAUGUAUGUAUGUAUGUAUGUGUGUAUGUAUAUAUAUAUAUAUAUAUGGCUAAAGAUGGUUCGUUGAAUAAGACACUGGCUGCUCUUUCAGAGGACUCAGAUUCCUAGCACCUACAUGGUAGCUCAUAACCAUCUGCAACUCCUGUAAAAUAAAUUUGUGAAUAAUAUUUUGGUUUGAAAGUAUAAAGUCAAGGUGAAUUUCUUAGAUUUUGGGUGAUGUGGCAAGAGAGAUGUUUUAGAACAUAGAGCAGGUACUCAAGUAUUCUACAGUAGGUGAAAUUUGCAAAAAGUAGUAUAGAAAUUUAAUGAAAUUUGAAAAACAUAUCCAUACAUUUGUAAAAUCUUUAUUCAGCACACAUCCUUGAACAAGCUGUGGUUUAUUAGACACUAAGAAAGAACAAAUUAAGAGAAUCUCGUUGAAUAAUUUAAGCAUCUAAGCAUAGAAGUUACAUUUUGCUAUAUUAAAGUAUAGUAAAGGUGCAUUAAAGUAUCGUUUUAGAAAUAUUCUAGCCAUUUGUGUGUGUGUGUGUGUGUGUGUGUGUGUGUGUGUUUACUUUUUAAACUUGCAGUGAAGUUUAUGCCAGCUACAGACCUGUUUUGUAGCCCAGACUGGCCUUGUAUCCUCGAUAUUCUAACUGUAGCCUCUCUAAAGGAUUAAAGAACUAGGUGUGGAGUCAAACCCAACCUUAGAAAGGCUACACACAAUGGCUACAAUAUUUCUAAAAUGAUACCUUAAUAUUCUUUCAUUUACUAUUUUUCCAUUUUACUAGUUUAAGUAAAAUUGCCUUUUAGUGUCUAUAACAAUAUAAUUAUGUUAAUAUAUAACUAUAGUAUAUAAUAUGUAUAAUAAGUAUUAUUUACUAGAUGCUCAUAGGG
rnacentral:lncRNA from 1 species